rnacentral:rRNA from 1 species
ACAUAGGGUGCAAGCGUUGUCCGGAAUUAUUGGGCGUAAAGAGCUCGUAGGUGGUUAGUUACGUCGGGUGUGAAAAUCUGGGGCUCAACCCCAGACCUGCACUCGAUACGGGCUAGCUAGAGUUUGGUAGGGGAGACUGGAAUUCCUGGUGUAGCGGUGGAAUGCGCAGAUAUCAGGAGGAACACCAAUGGCGAAGGCAGGUCUCUGGGCCAAUACUGACACUGAGGAGCGAAAGCGCGGGGAGCGAACAGGAUUAGAUACCCUGGUAGUCCGCGCCGUAAACGGUGGGCGCUAGUUGUGGGGACCUUCCACGGUCUCUGCGACGCAGCUAACGCAUUAAGCGCCCCGCCUGGGGAGUACGAUCGCAAGAUUA